AUGAUCUCUGACGAUGGGAGAGUUAAAAAAAAAAUGGCGUCGAACGGUGGGGACCGUGGUGCUUGCAAAAAAAAAAAUCCACGGGACCCGUACAACGACUGACGGACAACACCCGGGACAUUAGCGUUUACUGAUUAUUUGUGGCGGCUUGGAUGUCUUUCACUUCUAGACAAGAGCUUCUCUGACAGUGCAAACAUCGUUUGACAAAGAUGCAAACUAAAUGAGUGCCAGACUGCCAGGUGUGGGGGAACUGUCCUGUGGACCACAGGUCUCCCAUGCCAGACUGCCAGGUGUCGGAACUGUCCUGCGGACAACAGGUCUCCCAUGCCAGACUGCCAGGUGUCGGAACUGUCCUGUGGACCACAGGUCUCCCAUGCCAGACUGCCA